GCAUAUCAAUAAGCGGAGGAAAAGAAAAUAACAAUGAUUCCCUCAGUAACGGCGAGCGAAGAGGGAUAAGCUCAAAUUUUAAAUCUGUUGGGUUCCACUCGACAGAGUUGUAUUUUGAAGAAACGUUUUCUGCAUCCAGGAUUAGCCUAAAUCCUUUGGGAUAAGGUAUCAUGGAGGGUGAGAAUCCCGUUCAUGGUUAAUCUUAAGGAAGCUCUACGAUACGUUUUCCAAGAGUCGAGUUGUUUGGGAUUGCGGCUCAAAAUGGGAGGUAAAUUUCUCCUAAGGCUAAAUAUUGGCGAGAGACCGAUAGCGAACAAGUACCGUGAGGGAAAGAUGAAAAGAACUUUGAAAAGAGAGUUAAACAGUACGUGAAAUUGUUGAAAGGGAAACGAUUGAAGUCAGUCAUACCAACGGGAAAUCAACCUUUUGAGCUCGGUCUCGUGGGUUUUGAAGAGUUUCAAAGCCUUCGGAUUCGCGGGAUUGGGAUCUCUUGGCGUACUUUUUCGUACGGUUAGUCAACAUCGGUUUUGAAUGUCAUAAAAUGACUGGAGGAAUGUAGCUUCGAUCUCGUAUUGAAGUGUUAUAGCCUUUGGUAGAAUGUGAUGUUUGAGACCGAGGAUUGCAACGGAUACCCUUCAGGGCUAUUCGUCUGAUCUCUGAUACGUUGCCUUGAUGUUGAAAGCUUGCUUAUGAUGUUAGGGUAUUACGGUCAAAAGGUUAGAACGAAUUACAUUCGUUAAGGAUGUUGACGUAAUGGCUUUAAACGAC
rnacentral:rRNA from 1 species